UUAUCCUUUUCUCCUUAGCCACACAUUUAUCGUCAACAGAACCACCCCCUUCUCUCUUCUACUCUUCCAGCCGCGGCGCCGCAGCGCGCUCGUUCGUGCUCGCCCCGACGCCCUCCCCUGGUAGCUUGCACAUGGCUGUGCUCGCACGAAGCCCCACCGUCCUCCCCCGCGUCGCCGUAGAGCUCCAACCAGCGCCAAAAAAAGCUGCAAUCGGCUCAGGCAACUCCGCCAAUGCGCAUCGCCGUCGAUGCUGAGCGGAAGCGGCAGCCGGGCGUGCGUGCUACCACGGGGCAUGGAAAAGCUGCAUCCGGCUGACGGGGAAGCUGCUACCGGCACUCGCAGAAGCUGCGAUGACGACGACCCGCAAGAUGGCGACAUGCUGGAACCGGGGAAGCGGGAUGCUGGAACCAGCGAAGUUUUUUGCUGCCACCGGUGGUAAUUAUUGCUGGAACCAAUGGUGUUUUUCUAGCAUCUGCGUGGUUUUUGUUGCAACCGUCUUUGAUUUUUGCUGAAUUUGUUGUUUGUUUUUGCUGGAACCAACAAAUGUUGGGUGUGGGUGCUCAGGUGAUGAGUUUUGUUGGGACUGGCGGUGAGUUUUUGCUUCGACCAGCAGCUUUUUUUGCUGGAUCGACAUUUUUGUUUUGCUGCAACGCUCGUUGGAAGAGCUGCAUCCAAACGGCAGCAGGGCGGAGCCAACAAUGGUGGAUCUGUGGCCAGCGGCACCUUGCAACACACCGGCGGUCGUGCGAGAUCGCGGGAACAGGGGGCAGCAGUGUCGCUGCAUCGCGGUCCGGGCGACAAGUUGGGUGCGCUGUGGGGAAUUUUUUCAGUGAGAUGCGUGAGGUGAAAGAAGCUUGGAGGCGAAUCUGACGGUUGAAUAUAGUUGGAUCGUACGGCUGCGGGCCGACCGGCCCAAAAUUAGGCCGGUCGACCAGCGCCUAUCAGUCGCCGUUAGGUAAAGGCUUGUCGUAAAUAUGGAUGUAUUUAGAUAUAUUUUAGUUCUAGAUAUAUCAUUUCUGCGACAAGUAAUUUGAAACGGAGGGAGUAUAAAAGUAGGUCUAAAACUCAAGUAGUAGGAGCCAGUACAGUAAUCGAGUCUUGAGUGAAAUUAAGGCAGUGGUAAUGUUCACCGGCGAGAUUGAAAUAUGCUACUGUGCUAUUUUCUUCUUUUUUGGUAAGAACUCGGGAGAGACCGACCUGGAUUGAAUGGGUGAGACCAUCCAUCCGCGGCCGAUUUGGGGAACGCCAUCGUCGCACCUCCGGUCAGAUUGGGGAACGAAGAUGAGGACUACUCGUGGCGUCCGGCCCCUCUGCUGCCUUUGUCUUAUGACUUGUGGACCCGCACUCAUGGCCCUCCUCUGCCACUGAAAUUAGGAGCAAGUAUAAAAAAAGCAGGAGCUCAAGGAGGGCGACAGUCCCAUUUGCAAAUGAAGAUGUUUUGGGGGGAAGAGUAUUUGCUUAGGAAGAAGAGGGUGACCUGCAAUGGCUCCAAGGAAUCGUACCGUUGCGGCCGACAGUUGAUGCUGCCUUCUUCCAUUCCAUCUCCAUCACCCGCAGGCUGAUCACCCGGCCACGUGUGUGAUGGGGUCCGGCCGGAGGAGCUAGGAGGACGAACGGGGAGCCAUGUAACUGACCUUGAACCGUGCACUGAAACAAGCUUCCAGGAAGAUGUCUCCUCUGUAAAAGAAAAUAGAAGUAGACUUUAUUGAGCAAAGAACAAUCAAAUACAAGGAGUUGAUCCCA